UAUAUCUUGCUCGAUAUUUAGGAAUGACGCGGGUGUGUGGGUUGCAAGUUGGAUGAUAGCUUGUUUUGAAGAUGAUCAUUUUAAUAUAAAGGUUGAUGAUGGGAAUCGAAUGAAGAUUGCAGUCUUACUCGUGUCGAAGAAUCAUAACAUGAUCGCGUAUAGGGUCAAAAGAAAGGCCUCUGAAAAUCUUAGAAAGUUGUAUAAUAAUCACCAUCUUGAUUAUUAUGAAUUUUCGGAAGAUUAGAUUUAUAACAUUCCCUUUUUGUUAUUUUUUUGUGGGCAUAUAAACCUUCCAGUGACAUACGCAUUAUAUUUUGUUUACGUUUGUGUUCGUAUUUGUUUGCCGGAUUAUUUAAUGUCUCCAUUUGACUAAAGAUAUAAGUAGUAUUAUUUUUAAAGGUGGGUUUUCUUGACCAUCAUUAUUACUUCUAUGUUUUAUGAUUUUUCUGCUAGUGGUGCUUAUUAUUAUGCCAUUUUGAUAUUAUGAUUGAUUUAAUCAUAAUUAGAUGGAUUCAGAAUCAAUACAUGUUACCUAAUAUUAGUAUCUUUGAUAUAUGAAUUGAGCUCUGUUGGGAUUUGAAGUGAAGAUUUUUCCUUUUACUUUUGUUUUAUCUUAUUUAUUUAUGACCUCUUUGGGAUAUUUCUUUGCAUUUUGAUCAUUCCCUCUUGAAGCGGGAGUUCUAGUGCAACUCUGGUUUUCCCUUUUUUUUGGGGUUUAAAGUGGAAGUGGGAGUUCGGGUGAUUUGGAUUAUACCCGAGAGAAGGGGCUGGUUGAUGUAGCUUUUGCUUAAAUAAUUAAAAGUUCAUUUAUGCUCAGUUUUGAAGAUGCUGCCUGAUCAGAGAAAAAAAGGUAAACUUACUCAGCUCAUAUGUGUAUUUAGAUUCACAUGUAUGUAUCUUAAUAUGUUUUGGAUUGGUUUUGACUUUAGAAAAGUCACAUAAUGCGAUUGAUGUGAAUAUGAUGCUAUUGAUAUGUUUCUUUUCAUGGAGUUUUGCGAUUGAUGUGAAUGUGAAUGACAUUGGAUAUUUUUCUUAUAGAUCUAUGUACUUAUAUAGUGAUAUUAUUGCUAAUUGUUAAUGAAUUGAACUUAACUUUUUUUCUUAUUAUACAUCACAAAGAUUGUAAUGAAGUCAAACUAAUUUCCAUUCUAAAAUUAGAACUAGUCCUGCUUGAGCAUUUCCUUUGGAUGGUAAAUGACUAGUUUUGUUUAUCAGUUUAUAAGAGUUUGAUGAAGCUAAUCUGGUUUAAAUUCUACUGAUGUAAUUCAACUUGUGAAAUGCCUUUUAUUCUGUAGCCUAAACCCCUGAAGAAUUUGAAUGGAUCAAUUUGUCAAAUUUGUGGUGAAACUGUUGGAUUAACAGACAGCGGCGAUGUCUUUGUUGCUUGCAAUGAAUGUGCAUUUCCAGUUUGUCGUCCUUGUUAUGAAUAUGAGCAAAAGAAUGGGAACUAGUGUUGCCUCCAGUGCAAGACUAGAUACAAAAGGCACAAAGGUAGUUUACUUUGUGCAUAUGUGUUUUCUUUUUUUCUGUUUUGGACUCUGAUGAUCCUUUGUCUUAACUUUGAAUUGAUCCUCGAGUGGAUGGAGAUGAAUAUGUGGAUGAAGUUGAUGAUUUGGAGAAUGAGUUCAGUUAUGGCCAAGGAAAGGCCAAGGCACGGCCGCAGUGGGAUGAAGAUGCUGACAUCUCUUCCUCUUCAAGACGUGAACAACCAAUUCCACUUUUGACUCAUCGACACCAAAUUUCUAGUGAGACUGCUAUACCUGAUACGCAAUCAGCUCGAACUACAUCAGGCCCUUUAGGUCCAUCUGACAAGGUUCACUCACUUCCAUAUGUUGAUCAAAUGCAACCAGUUCCAGUAAGAAUUGUAGAUCCAUCAUAGGACUUAAAUUCUUAUGGUCUUGGAAAUGUUGACUGGAAAGAAAGGGUUGAAAGUUGGAAACUCAAGCAGGAGAAGAAUGUGGUGCAUGUGAAUGGUAGUAGAUAUAAUGAGGGAAAAGGUGAUAUUGAAGGAACUGGUUCCAAUGGAGAAGAACUUCAAAAUGGUAACUUUGUCUUGGAAUUGGAAAACUAAAGAUAUGGACACAUUAAUUUUAAUAUUUAGCGAGAAAUAUGUUACUUUUAAUAAAUGAUAUUCUUAUAGUAGACCAGUAGUCUAUAAACAUAGCAUUCUGCAUUAACUCAGAAUUUG